rnacentral:rRNA from 1 species
GAUGAACGCUGGCGGCGUGCCUAAUACAUGCAAGUCGAGCGAACGGACGAGAAGCUUGCUUUUCUGAUGUUAGCGGCGGACGGGUGAGUAACACGUGGAUAACCUACCUAUAAGACUGGGAUAACUUCGGGAAACCGGAGCUAAUACCGGAUAAUGUUUUGAACCGCAUGGUUCAAUAGUGAAAGACGGUCUUGCUGUCACUUAUAGAUGGAUCCGCGCUGCAUUAGCUAGUUGGUAAGGUAACGGCUUACCAAGGCAACGAUGCGUAGCCGACCUGAGAGGGUGAUCGGCCACACUGGAACUGAGACACGGUCCAGACUCCUACGGGAGGCAGCAGUAGGGAAUCUUCCGCAAUGGGCGAAAGCCUGACGGAGCAACGCCGCGUGAGUGAUGAAGGUCUUCGGAUCGUAAAACUCUGUUAUUAGGGAAGAACAUAUGUGUAAGUAACUAUGCACAUCUUGACGGUACCUAAUCAGAAAGCCACGGCUAACUACGUG